GGCCUUAUGGUCUAGUAGCAUGAUUCUUCCUUUGGGUAGCAGCACAAUUGGAAGAGGUCUCGGGUUCAAUUCCCGAUGAGGCCC
rnacentral:tRNA from 1 species